GCAAGAGAACCGGAACACAGGUGCUGCAUGGCUGUCGUCAGCUCGUGUCGUGAGAUGUUGGGUUAAGUCCCGCAACGAGCGCAACCCUUGUCAUUAGUUGCCAUCAUUUGGUUGGGCACUCUAAUGAGACUGCCGGUGACAAACCGGAGGAAGGUGGGGAUGACGUCAAGUCCUCAUGGCCCUUAUGGGUAGGGCUUCACACGUCAUACAAUGGUCGGUACAGAGGGUUGCCAACCCGCGAGGGGGAGCUAAUCCCACAAAGCCGAUCGUAGUCCGGAUCGCAGUCUGCAACUCGACUGCGUGAAGUCGGAAUCGCUAGUAAUCGCGGAUCAGCAUGUCGCGGUGAAUACGUUCCCGGGUCUU
rnacentral:rRNA from 1 species